AGUUGCCAAUCGCCACUCAGGCCAAAAGCGCAGAAGAACAAAAAUGACCGGGAAAAUCUGACAGGACUGAGAAGAUGACAACAGCACAGCGGGGUUUUAGAAGCCCAUCAGAGUGAUUUUCUGAGUUCUUUCACAUAUGCUGUAUGGUCAGCGAAUGGAUGGAUUAUCCAGUCACGGUACAUAAUAAAAGACUUGACUGAGUUAGAAGAAGCUGAGCGACUCUUCAGAGUGAAGAUGUUAUGAUGCAGUUAUGUCAAAGCACUCGUUUCGGAUGGCCAGAUUGGAACAGAACCUGAAUGGGAAGAUGGCAGAGCUAAGACUGGCAAUUUCCAGGAAAAAUGUUUACUAAAAAUGAGUGUGUUUUUCCCCAGCGAGAGAGUUUGGGAAUGUUUUAAAUGUGUCUAGAAGUUUGAAAAUGUAAUACUGAGGGAAAAAAGUGAGCGCUUUGAAAAGGCUUUAAAAAGAAAAAAAAGUCUGAAGUUGAUGUGAAAUGAAGUUAAAGUUUUUACUUGAAAAGUUUGUACUGUACUUGUUUGUACUUGUCAAGUCUGUGCUGAAAAAAAUGCAGUAAAGGUUGUAUUUGAAAAGA